ACAAGCGGUGGAGUAUGUGGUUAAUUCGAUGCAACGCGAAGAACCUUACCUGGUCUUGACAUCCCGGAGACCCUUAGGAAACUAGGGGUGCUUCCAUCUGGAAGAAUCUGGAGACAGGUGCUGCAUGGCUGUCGUCAGCUCGUGUCGUGAGAUGUUGGGUUAAGUCCCGCAACGAGCGCAACCCUUGCCUUUAGUUGCCAGCAGUUCGGCUGGGCACUCUAAAGGGACUGCCGGUGUUAAACCGGAGGAAGGUGGGGAUGACGUCAAGUCCUCACGGCCUUUAUGACCAGGGCUACACACGUACUACAAUGGCCGAUACAAAGGGCAGCGACACUGCGAGGUGAAGCCAAUCCCGUAAAAUCGGUCUCAGUCCGGAUUGGAGUCUGCAACUCGACUCCAUGAAGUUGGAAUCGCUAGUAAUCGUGGAUCAGCAUGCCACGGUGAAUACGUUCCCGGGCCUU
rnacentral:rRNA from 1 species